GGUAGUAUUUGAACAUUACUAAAAAAAAAUUAUUGGGUAAAAAUUAAGACUAUAGUGACAAUCAUUCAUCACAACCACCACCGGGCUCAUGGUUUUUCAGAGCAUAUUUAGGCAAUGAAAAAUAUGUCACUGAUGUGAGUAUUGGUUGUGAUGAAUGGAAACGAAUAGCCCUUUUCUCUUAUUUUAUCUAAAAUAUCUAAUAAGACAUGAAUACAUCCAUGAAUGACCUGAAGAAAAUAUAUGAGCAGUCGUUCAAUCUGUGAUAUAGGAAAUAAAAUAAGUGUGUGGUGAGUUUUUGUGGAGUUAAACACGACCUAGAAAAGACUGGGUCCAACAGAACCUGAGAUACUCAAAUUUUAAUGUUCCAACUUAAAACAUUUUAGAGAACGAUGUUUGCCGGAAAGGUUUUACUUUGACGAAAGAAGACAACGUUAAAAUACAUUACAAGGUUUACAAAAAGACUUUAUCUAGCGUGUAUGGUAUGAGCGAGAAACGACGAAGUGGUUUGAUCAUGUGCAACCUACCAUAUGGCAUAUUGAUUACAACGUAUAGUGGCUCAACUGACAAGGCGCGGGACGUCAUUAAACUUGUUGAAGAUGCGUGCACGUUACUCCGAAGUUAGAGACAGAGAUUUAAUCUCGUAGAACUCUGAAAACUCAGUCCCUAGCUUACACUAGUUGUCGUUACGAUACUUAAUGGAUUGUACAGUGAUUACCGUCAACCUAAUGUAUCAGUGUAUUUCUAUGAUUUCGUAACAUGUUAUAUCACCAAUGCAAUAAAUUAAAUAUUCCGGAAAUUA